GUGUCCUACGGGAGGCAGCAGUGGGGAAUAUUGGGCAAUGGGCGCAAGCCUGACCCAGCAACGCCGCGUGAAGGAAGAAGGCUUUCGGGUUGUAAACUUCUUUUCUCAGGGACGAAGAAAGUGACGGUACCUGAGGAAUAAGCCACGGCUAACUACGUGCCAGCAGCCGCGGUAAUACGUAGGUGGCAAGCGUUAUCCGGAUUUACUGGGUGUAAAGGGAGCGUAGGCGGCGCGUUAAGUCUGAUGUGAAAACCCGAGGCUCAACCACGGGAGUGCAUUGGAAACUGGCGGGCUGGAGUGCCGGG
rnacentral:rRNA from 1 species